rnacentral:rRNA from 1 species
CACGUAGGGGGCAAGCGUUGUCCGGAUUUAUUGGGCGUAAAGAGCUCGUAGGCGGUUCGGUAAGUCGGGUGUGAAACCUCCAGGCUCAACCUGGAGACGCCACCCGAUACUGCUGUGACUAGAGUCCGGUAGGGGAGCGUGGAAUUCCUGGUGUAGCGGUGAAAUGCGCAGAUAUCAGGAGGAACACCGGUGGCGAAGGCGGGUCUCUGGGCAACAACUGACGCUGAGGCGCGAAAGCUAGGGGAGCAAACGGG